CACGGGGGGAGCAAGCGUUGUUCGGAUUCAUUGGGCGUAAAGGGCUCGUAGGUGGCUUUGUAAGUCGGAGGUGAAAUCCCACGGCUCAACCGUGGACACGCCUUCGAAACUGUGAAGCUUGAGGCUGGGAGAGGAGAUCGGAAUUCCGAGUGUAGAGGUGAAAUUCGUAGAUAUUCGGAAGAACACCAGUGGCGAAGGCGGCUCACUGGACUGGUAUUGACGCUGAGGUGCGAAAGCGUGGGGAGCAAACAGG
rnacentral:rRNA from 1 species